UGGGGAAUUUUGGACAAUGGGCGCAGGCCUGAUCCAGCAAUGCCGCGUGCAGGAUGAAGGCCUUCGGGUUGUAAACUGCUUUUGUACGGAACGAAAAAGCUCUCUCUAAUACAGGGGGUGAAUGACGGUACCGUAAGAAUAAGCACCGGCUAACUACGUGCCAGCAGCCGCGGUAAUACGUAGGGUGCAAGCGUUAAUCGGAAUUACUGGGCGUAAAGCGUGCGCAGGCGGUUUUGUAAGGCAGAGGUGAAAUCCCCGGGCUCAACCUGGGAACUGCCUUUGUGACUGCAAAGCUGGAGUGCGGCAGAGGGGGAUGGAAUUCCGCGUGUAGCAGUGAAAUGCGUAGAUAUGCGGAGGAACACCGAUGGCGAAGGCAAUCCCCUGGGCCUGCACUGACGCUCAUGCACGAAAGCGUGGGGAGCAAACA
rnacentral:rRNA from 1 species